rnacentral:rRNA from 1 species
UACGUAGGAGGCGAGCGUUAUCCGGAUUCACUGGGCGUAAAGCGUGUGCCGGCGGUUUGGUUAGUUGGAUGUGAAAGCUCCUGGCUCAACUGGGAGAGGUCGUUCAAUACUGCCAGACUAGAGGACGGUAGAGGAGAGUGGAAUUCCCGGUGUAGUGGUGAAAUGCGUAGAUAUCGGGAGGAACACCAGUGGCGAAAGCGGCUCUCUGGGCCGUUCCUGACGCUAAGACACGAAAGCGUGGGUAGCGAACGGG